UGGGGAAUAUUGCACAAUGGGCGCAAGCCUGAUGCAGCAACGCCGCGUGAGGGAUGACGGCCUUCGGGUUGUAAACCUCUUUUAGCAGGGAAGAAGCGAAAGUGACGGUACCUGCAGAAAAAGCGCCGGCUAACUACGUGCCAGCAGCCGCGGUAAUACGUAGGGCGCAAGCGUUAUCCGGAAUUAUUGGGCGUAAAGAGCUCGUAGGCGGUUUGUCGCGUCUGCUGUGAAAUCCCGAGGCUCAACCUCGGGUCUGCAGUGGGUACGGGCAGACUAGAGUGCGGUAGGGGAGAUUGGAAUUCCUGGUGUAGCGGUGGAAUGCGCAGAUAUCAGGAGGAACACCGAUGGCGAAGGCAGAUCUCUGGGCCGUAACUGACGCUGAGGAGCGAAAGGGUGGGGAGCAAACAGGCUUAGAUACCCUGGUAGUCCACCCGUAAACGUUGGGAACUAGUUGUGGGUCCAUUCCACGGAUUCCGUGACGCAGCUAACGCAUUAAGUUCCCCGCCUGGGGAGUACGGCCGCAAGGCUAAAACUUGAAAGGAAUUGACGGGGUCAUAGCUGUUUCCU
rnacentral:rRNA from 1 species